AAGGCACCGGUUCAGGCCAAACCGGUGCCAAAUACCUGCCUAAAAAUGGGCGGAAUUUCAGACCAAGAGCAAUGGCACCGGUUCAGCUCAAACCGGUGGCAAAAAUACAAAGGGCACCGGUUUGAACCGGUGCCACUAAACCGGUUCAUCUAUAUAAUUAAAAAAACCCGCCCUAUAUAAAUACCCAAAUAAAACCCUAACUCUCCCUCACUUCCUCAGCCGCUCCUCCUUCUCUUUCUCUAUCCUCCUUCUCUUUCUCUCUCCUCCUUCUAUCUCUCUUCUCUGUUCUCCUUCUUUCUCCUUCGAUCUCAUCUCCUUCUCUCUCUUUCUCCUCUUUCGUUCUUCCCAGAUUAUCCUCCCCUUCUCACUCGUUUCCACGACCAAAGGCCACCACCGAAGAGGCGAAGACCACCACCAAGACCAACACCCAAGACCACCAAGAACACCGAUUCUAGGUAUACUAUUUUCUUUGCAAGCCCAAAAUAUUGCACAUAAUCGAAGAAUUAAGAAUCAAGAAUCAAGAAUAUUGAUUUAGAUGUUUGGGUUUUUUUAUUGUGAUGUUGUAAUAAUUUUUUUUUAUUUAUAUUGUAGUUCUUUUUUAUUUAUUUAUAUGUUGUAAUUGUUUAAUUUUAUAAUUCGUAUAUUGUAAUUUUUUCUUGAUUAUAUACUGUAAAUUUCGGUUAUAUUCAAUGAUAUUCGAUUAAUAUGUUUUUGUUCUUA